UGAGAUGAGGCUGACUGGCCCAUAGUUCAUCAAAUUCCUCUUCUUGCCUUUCCCUUCCUGAAAAUGGGUGUGAGCCCUGACCUUCUUCAGUCAUCAGGAACAUCCCCAAUUCCCAUACCUUUCAAAGGCUUUAGACAGUAUCCAGCACCCUUCAGAACCCUCAGCAUGUAAAGAAAAACCAUUUCUUUUGAAGGAAGGGAAAUCAGAGGCUGUUCCCCAAAAGAAUCUAUCACACUGCCACCCUGAGAUUCAGGAGUGCCUUGUCGGCUCUUCAUUCAACAUUUGCAAACCCUUGCUCUAGCAUUCCUGGUACCAAUUCAGGGCCAAGGCCACGGUGGAAAGUCCUCCC